rnacentral:rRNA from 1 species
UACGGGGGGGGUAAGCGUUGUUCGGAAUUACUGGGCGUAAAGGGCUCGUAGGCGGCCAACUAAGUCGGACGUGAAAUCCCUCGGCUUAACCGGGGAACUGCGUCCGAUACUGGAUGGCUUGAGUUUGGGAGAGGGAUGCGGAAUUCCAGGUGUAGCGGUGAAAUGCGUAGAUAUCUGGAGGAACACCGGUGGCGAAGGCGGCAUCCUGGACCAAUUACUGACGCUGAGUGAGCGAAAGCCAGGGGAGCAAACGGG